GGAGGGGUGUCCGAGCGGUUGAAGGUGCCGGUCUUGAAAACCGGUGUGGGUAAAACCACCGUGGGUUCGAAUCCCACCCCCUCCGCCA
rnacentral:tRNA from 1 species